CCCUUAGAUGUUCUGGGCCGCACGCGCGCUACACUGACGAAUGCAACGAGCUUAUAACCUUGGCCAAAAGGUCUGGGUAAUCUCCAAAUUUCGUCGUGAUGGGGAUAGAUUAUUGCAAUUAUUAAUCUUCAACGAGGAAUGCCUAGUAAGCGCAAGUCAUCAGCUUGCGUUGAUUACGUCCCUGCCCUUUGUACACACCGCCCGUCGCUCCUACCGAUUGAAUGGUCCGGUGAAGCGUUCGGACCGUGGCCUUUGGACGGUUCGCCGUCUGUUGGCUGCGGGAAGUUCGUUAAACCUUAUCAUUUAGAGGAAGGAGAAGUCGUANCA
rnacentral:rRNA from 1 species